AGAAGUGCUCUCUAAUAAAAAUGUCAGAGUGCACGACCUGGUUUUUGUUUUUAGUUUGAAAUGGCAGUCAGAUGUCCUAAAGCACGGUACAGGAGAUGUUUAAACCUUUAAAUAUCUUAGAAAGUGCUCCUGUUGCAGUCACUCCAGGUUGCGUUCUCCUUAUGAGUUUGGAAGGGAAAACUUCUGUGUCCAUCUCCACUCAACCACAGGGAUUCCAUCCUGCAUCCCAGCAGAGGAAGAAGCUGAAUGCUGCUAGACCUCACAGCUGUGUCUGGUGCUGCAGGCAGCUGAUGAGAACAGAGGAAGGAGCAGAUGAUGACACCAAAUCCUGCCCUGGAGCUGGGCAGGGCUCAAGGAGCAGCCCCGUGUGGAGAAGCAGAUGGAGCUCUGCAAAGUAUCAGCAUGCCGAAUUUUAUGGAGCAUUUCUGGAACUGAGGGACACCUAUCUGGGAAUUUCCAGCAUGCAGGUGGUAAAACACUGACUGCUAUGAACUUCAUCAGGAGGAAAAAAAAAAAAAAAAAGGAAAAAGCUGUGGUUUGGAAGCAGCUGGAUGGCAAACUGCAGGCUGGGAUGUGGCUGCCAAAACCACCACAAGGAGACUGGGGCAUAGAGGCAUUUGUGGAGCAUUCUGUUUGCUGAUUGCUCGUGGAAUUUCAGUGUCUGGAUUUCUUUACUUCAACUUUUCCAUUCUUCAGACUUGAGCCAAGUUGGAAGAGAAGAGGGGGAUCUGCCAGGUGGCUGCAUCUUGGAACACAGGCCUUGCUUUCCUGUGCCAUUUUGGAGCAGUCCUGUGUGUGGGAGAAGUACAGCUGUGGGACGCCUGAUGAAAAGAGGAAAUGGUUAGCUGGUAGCACAGGAGCCUCGUGCAAGAGGAAGAAACGUAGAAGAAAAGAAAUUGCAGUGCAGUUUCUCUGCCGAGGGAUAUCGACUGUAACAUUUACUCUGUGUCUGAGCAUGGACCCUCAGCUGUGCAGGGGGACACCAAGCCAAGGAAGGAUAUAAGGAACCCAGGCUAUGGAAUUUAUUUCUCCAGAAAAGCCUGACAAGGCCUGAGGUAAUUUUCUGUGCUGUGCAGUAAUCACUCCCUCAGUGCAGGGAACAAAUGGACACCCAGCUCUCCGUGUAAGUCACGGCCUGGUGCUGUUUCCCCUGGGCCCCAGGCAGAGGGACCGGGAGAUCCCAGCCCUCCUGCACGGCUCAGGUGUGUCCUGCACUACCUGCACCAGUGAGGACACCCUGCAGUGGGAAGGGCCAUUCUGUGACUCCUCACUCUCUGCCUUGGCUCUGUCCUGGCCUGCUGCCAUCCCAGCAGCACCACGGAGCAGGCGGAGCAAAUCCUGAAGACUGCGAGCGCCAGAAUCUGCACGGCUAAAAGAGGGCAGCAGCACCCCGGUAACGUUUGUCUGCUGAUGGAGACUCAGCAAGAGAGCUUGGGCCACAUCUCCCUUGGCUGAGUACACAUUGUUUGUCAGGCAGAAUGCUCUCCCGGCCUUCUAUGCUCCCACCAAACCAUUCAGUAAAAGGAUAAUAUUUUUCUUCCU